rnacentral:rRNA from 1 species
CGCAUAUCAAUAAGCGGAGGAAAAGAAACCAACAGGGAUUGCCCCAGUAACGGCGAGUGAAGCGGCAAGUACUCAAAUUUGAAAGCAGGCUCCUUCGGGGUCCGCAUUAGUAAUUUGCAGAGGAUGCUUCGGGAGUGGCCCCCAUCUAAGUGCCCUGGAACGGGCUGUCAUAGAGGGUGAGAAUCCCG